rnacentral:rRNA from 1 species
GGUGAACGCUGGCGGCAUGCCUAACACAUGCAAGUCGAACGGACACACAGUAAGCUUUUUCUUUUAACGUUGGCGGCGGGCGGACGGGUGACACAUACAUCACCAUCUUCUUUUUCUUGGAGGACUUCGUAAAGACGGAGCCGCUACUAGCGAAUAUAUUCUACCGCUUGAUUCAAUGGUGCUUCGGGCCUUUCGCGUUUCUUUUAGCCGGUGUCGCAUUAGCUAGUUGGGUGGGUAAAGGCCCACCAAGGCGACGAUCCGUAGCUGGUCUGAGAGGGUGAUCAGCCACACUGGAACUGAGACACGGUCCAGACUCCUACGGGAGGCAGCAGUGGGGAAUAUUGGACAAUGGGCGAAAGCCUGACGCAGCAACACCGCGUGAGUGAAGAAGGCCUUCGGAUCGUAAAGCCCUUUUAUUAGGGAAGAACAGCAGUAUGAUAAUAUAUGGCUGUUUUGACGGUACCCAAAGAAAAAGCAACGGCUAACUUCGUG